rnacentral:rRNA from 1 species
ACUCCUACGGGGCGCAGCAGUGGGGAAUAUUGCACAAUGGGGGAAACCCUGAUGCAGCGACGCCGCGUGAGCGAAGAAGUAUUUCGGUAUGUAAAGCUCUAUCAGCAGGGAAGAAAAUGACGGUACCUGACUAAGAAGCUCCGGCUAAAUACGUGCCAGCAGCCGCGGUAAUACGUAUGGAGCAAGCGUUAUCCGGAUUUACUGGGUGUAAAGGGAGCGCAGGCGGCUUUGCAAGUCUGAUGUGAAAGGCCGGGGCUCAACCCCGGGACUGCAUUGGAAACUGU